CGGGAGUAAUGUCUGGGAAACUGCCUGAUGGAGGGGGAUAACUACUGGAAACGGUAGCUAAUACCGCAUAAUGUCGCAAGACCAAAGUGGGGGACCUUCGGGCCUCAUGCCAUAAGAUGUGCCCAGAUGGGAUUAGCUAGUAGGUGGGGUAACGGCUCACCUAGGCGACGAUCCCUAGCUGGUCUGAGAGGAUGACCAGCCACACUGGAACUGAGACACGGUCCAG
rnacentral:rRNA from 1 species